rnacentral:tRNA from 1 species
GGCGGCGUAGCCAAGUGGUAAGGCAGAGGCCUGCAAAGCCUCGAUUCACCGGUUCGAAUCCGGUCGCCGCCU